rnacentral:piRNA from 1 species
AUUGAUGUCGAACUAGCAAGCUUG